GACGAACGCUGGCGGCGUGCUUAACACAUGCAAGUCGAACGGAAAGGCCCUGCUUUUGUGGGGUGCUCGAGUGGCGAACGGGUGAGUAACACGUGAGUAACCUGCCCUUGACUUUGGGAUAACUUCAGGAAACUGGGGCUAAUACCGGAUAGGAGCUCCUGCUGCAUGGUGGUGGUUGGAAAGUUUCGGCGGUUGGGGGUGGACUCGAGGAUUAUCAGCUUGUUUGUGAGGUAGUGGCUUACCAAGGCUUUGACGGGUAGCCGGCCUGAGAGGGUGACCGGCCACAUUGGUACUGAGGUACGGCCCAGACUCCUACGGGAGGCAGCAGUGGGGAAUAUGGCACAAUGGGCGGAAGCCUGAUGCAGCGACGCCGCGUGCGGGAUGACGGCCUUCGGGUUGUAAACCGCUUUCGACUGUGACGAAGCGUGAGUGACGGUAAUGGGUAAAGAAGCACCGGCUAACUACGUG
rnacentral:rRNA from 1 species